rnacentral:rRNA from 1 species
UGAUCCAGCAAUGCCGCGUGCAGGAAGAAGGCCUUCGGGUUGUAAACUGCUUUUGUACGGAACGAAACGGCUCUGGUUAAUACCCGGGGCUAAUGACGGUACCGUAAGAAUAAGCACCGGCUAACUACGUGCCAGCAGCCGCGGUAAUACGUAGGGUGCGAGCGUUAAUCGGAAUUACUGGGCGUAAAGCGUGCGCAGGCGGUGCUGUAAGACAGGCGUGAAAUCCCCGGGCUCAACCUGGGAAUGGCGCUUGUGACUGCAGUGCUGGAGUGCGGCAGAGGGGGAUGGAAUUCCGCGUGUAGCAGUGAAAUGCGUAGAUAUGCGGAGGAACACCGAUGGCGAAGGCAAUCCCCUGGGCCUGCACUGACGCUCAUGCACGAAAGCGUGGGGAGCAAACAGGAUUAGAUACCCUGGUAGUCCACGCCCUAAACGAUGUCAACUGGUUGUUGGGUCUCUUCUGACUCAGUAACGAAGCUAACGCGUGAAGUUGACCGCCUGGGGAGUACGGCCGCAAGGUUGAAACUCAAAGGAAAUUGACGG